UGGGAGACUGGGAGCACAGGCAAACGAAGCAAGCCCCCUCCGGCCCUCUUAUCCUCUUCCUCUCGCGACGGCGGUGGCGCCGAGUGCACCCAGGCCUCAUUCCACCUUACCACGCAGGUAACUGUGCUUUGUGCAAGGCCGGGUUUAUACAAAAUGGUUCUCUGUCAAGGCUUAUCUGCUGGGCAGGGGCAGCUUCUUGCUUUUCCUGCUGCUAAGCCUCCUCUCUUAAGAAGAUCUUGCAUUCGUAUACCAGCGGGAUCACCGGGUCUAAAGAGUGCUCGGCUUUCAUCCAAGAGGAAGAAACUUUCAGUGCAAGCUGUACGAGCCGGCACUGGUUUUCUUCACCAUGACAUGCUCACAUCAUCUCUGAUGGAGGGUUCGAUCAAGGGCAUUCCAUCAUUAUUGACCCGGCAGAAUCAGCGUCGAAGAUCGGAAGUUGGCUGUCGAGCUUCCUCUCUAGCAUCAUUCAGCUACCCUGAAUUGACUUCCAAGCCCAGAUGGUGGUGGAGAACCCUUGCAUGUGUGCCGUACUUGCUGCCACUCCACAACAUGUGGUCGUAUGCCGAUGUCAUCUACCAGUUGCACACGUACUUGCAGGGCUUUUCAUUGGUUUAUACUUUCAUCGACACCAUGACACUGCUUCCAGGGUGGCUCUUGCUGGUGAUAUUUAUGACCGUGUACUUCUUCGUGGUGAGACGCAAGUGGUCACCCCACUUCAUGAGGUUCCAUGUGAUCUUGGCCAUCCUCCUGGACACCGGCUCCCAAGCAGUGGCAACAAUGUGCACCUGGAUGCCCAGCUUCGUGUAUCAGGGGAAGCCCAUGCAGUAUUUCUGGAUGGCCAUUGCUUUCAUGCAGAUCUUUACAGUGCUAGAGUGCAUGCGCUGUGCUCUCUGUGGGAUGUAUCCGAACGUUCCUUUCAUAUCCCACACAGCCUUCAUCCAUUCUGAUCUGAAUCUCUUCAGGUAGCCACCUGCUCACCAUGUUGGGUUUUUGAUAUCAGAAGGAUGGAAAGUGAGAUGGAGGUGCAAAUAGGUAGUACUUUUUUUUUGCAGUAGCUACUUACAGUUCUAUAGACUGUUUUGUUUAUACUGAAAUUUUGAAGUCUCAUUGUAAUUGCCAGGAUCGUGACCUUUUUGCAUUAUGACAAAAUCCAAACAGUGACACGAUUGAUCGUUGCAUCGGUUGAAUUGCUUAAGUGUUUGAGUUAUCUGCAUUUUUGUUGUCUAGAAACGUGUGAAACUAUGAAUACAUGUUUCCUCGUGUGGUUUGAAUGGAACCCCUGCUGGCCGGACUUGGCUAAAAUCUGUUUAUCAUCUUCCAGAAAUGAACGGCGGUGUAGGUAUGGCACCCUUUUGUCUGGCCACAUUUUGACUUCUGAACUUGGCUGAAGUGCUAGACUCCGAAUAUUGGUGAUGAGAAUUAUCUGUGCAAACUGCCAUUCGUUUUUCUAUGACAUUGGUGAAGAAUAAAGAAUCAACAACUAUUUCUACCAC
rnacentral:rRNA from 1 species